rnacentral:rRNA from 1 species
UACGUAGGGGCGAAGCGUUAUCCGGAUUUACUGGGUGUAAAGGGAGCGCAGACGGAACUGCAAGUCUGAUGUGAAAGCCCGGGGCUCAACCGCGGGACUGCAUUGGAAACUGUAGAUCUGGAGUGCCGGAGGGGCAAGCGGAAUUCCUGGUGUAGCGGUGAAAUGCGUAGAUAUCAGGAGGAACACCUGCGGCGAAGGCGGCUUGCUGGACGGCAACUGACGUUGAGGCUCGAAAGCGUGGGGAGCAAACAGGAUUAGAUACCCU